CUGCGAUGAUGACCUUCUUAGGACACCUUUGGAUUAAAACAUGAAAAGACGUUUUGUUUCUGAGCAGC
rnacentral:snoRNA from 1 species